GGCACUUCUCAGCCUUUUGGCUCAGAUCAAGUAUAGUAUCUGUUCUUACCAGUUUAAUAUCUGAUAUGUCCUCUAUCUGAGGACAUUAUUAAAUGGAUUUUUGGAGCUGGGAGAUGGAGCUUGCUCCAUCCACUCUGCAUAUCAACCCAGUGUUGCAGUACUUCUGGGAAUGGUGCAUCAGAG